GAUGAACGCUGGCGGCGUGCCUAAUACAUGCAAGUCGAGCGAACAGAUGAGGAGCUUGCUCCUCUGACGUUAGCGGCGGACGGGUGAGUAACACGUGGAUAACCUACCUAUAAGACUGGGAUAACUUCGGGAAACCGGAGCUAAUACCGGAUAAUAUAUUGAACCGCAUGGUUCAAUAGUGAAAGACGGUUUUGCUGUCACUUAUAGAUGGAUCCGCGCCGCAUUAGCUAGUUGGUAAGGUAACGGCUUACGAAGGCAACGAUGCGUAGCCGACCUGAGAGGGUGAUCGGCCACACUGGAACUGAGACACGGUCCAGACUCCUACGGGAGGCAGCAGUAGGGAAUCUUCCGCAAUGGGCGAAAGCCUGACGGAGCAACGCCGCGUGAGUGAUGAAGGUCUUCGGAUCGUAAAACUCUGUUAUUAGGGAAGAACAAAUGUGUAAGUAACUAUGCACGUCUUGACGGUACCUAAUCAGAAAGCCACGGCUAACUACGUG
rnacentral:rRNA from 1 species